rnacentral:rRNA from 1 species
UACGGAGGGUGCAAGCGUUAUCCGGAUUCACUGGGUUUAAAGGGUGCGUAGGCGGACAGGUAAGUCAGUGGUGGAAUCUCUGGGCUUAACCCAGAAACUGCCGUUGAUACUAUUUGUCUUGAAUAUCCUGGAGGUAGGCGGAAUAUGUCAUGUAGCGGUGAAAUGCUUAGAUAUGACAUAGAACACCGAUAGCGAAGGCAGCUUACUACAGGAUGAUUGACGCUGAGGCACGAAAGCGUGGGGAGCAACAGG